UACGAAGGGGGCUAGCGUUGUUCGGAUUUACUGGGCGUAAAGCGCACGUAGGCGGAUCGAUCAGUCAGGGGUGAAAUCCCAGGGCUCAACCCUGGAACUGCCUUUGAUACUGUCGAUCUGGAGUAUGGAAGAGGUGAGUGGAACUCCGAGUGUAGAGGUGAAAUUCGUAGAUAUUCGGAGGAACACCAGUGGCGAAGGCGGCUCACUGGACCGGAACUGACGCUGAGGCGCGAAAGCGUGGGGAGCAAACAGG
rnacentral:rRNA from 1 species